rnacentral:lncRNA from 1 species
GAGGCGAGGCCCUCAGGUGCGUCAGGGUUGGACGCGCUCGUGGAGGAGCAGAGGCGCCGCCUGGACCUGCACCGCCCCGCGCGGUCCCCAGCAUGGUCAGAGGGUGGCCCAGCAACGGCCGCGCUGCGUGAACCGUGACUGGGGCGCCUGGGAAAGGCAGAGCGGAGAGACAGAGGCCAGAUGUAGUGACAGAGAAUCAUCCAAACCCGAGCAGACUGGAAGAGCUGGGUGCCAGGACACUGUAAGAAACGGACUUUUCAGAUCAGCGCUAAUCGAGAGCAGCGCGGCGCAGGGCCCAGGACGAGCGCAUCCAGGAAGCAGCGGCCGGCGGGCAGCUUCCAGGCCAGAGACCUCACUGACCGCUUCUGUUCGCAAGGGCGCUGGCUCAGGAGCCUCGACUGCAUGAGGAGACACGCGAGGGAUUUCCAUUCCUCGGCUCCUACUCGGGCUUCCGCUGCGGGGGACGCAGAGCGUGGGCGGAGCUUCGUGUAACCACGGUUACCGAUUUGCUUCCAGCAGGUAAUAAAAGUGGGCAGGAUGCUGCAUGACUGGUUACACUGGGCCG